rnacentral:pre_miRNA from 1 species
ACAGUACUCCCUCCAAUCCAUAUUACUUGUCGAAAUAUUACAUGUAUCUAGACGUUUUUUAGACUUAGAUACAUUCAUAUUUAGUCAAAUUUGAGACAAUUAAUAUGGAUCGGAGGAGUAAUUA